rnacentral:rRNA from 1 species
UAAGCAUAUCAAUAAGCGGAGGAAAAGAAACUAACGAGGAUUCCCCUAGUAACUGCGAGUGAAGCGGGAAAAGCUCAAAUUUGAAAUCUGGCGGUCUUUGGCUGUCCGAGUUGUAAUCUAGAGAAGUGUUACCCGCGUUGGACCGUGUAUAAGUCUCCUGGAAUGGAGCGUCAUAGAGGGUGAGAAUCCCGUCUUUGACACGGACUACCAAGGCUUUGUGGUAUGCUCUCAAAGAGUCGAGUUGUUUGGGAAUGCAGCUCAAAAUGGGUGGUAAAUGCCAUCUAAAGCUAAAUAUUGGCGAGAGACCGAUAGCGAACAAGUACCGUGAGGGAAAGAUGAAAAGAACUUUGGAAAGAGAGUUAAACAGUACGUGAAAUUGCUGAAAGGGAAACGCUUAAAGUCAGUCGCGUUGGCUUGAAAUCAACCUUGCUUUUGCUGGGUGUACUUUCUAGUUGACGGGUCAACAUCAGUUUUGACCAGUGGAUAAAGUCAAUGGGAAUGUGGCUCCUUCGGGAGUGUUAUAGCCCAUAGUCGCAUACAUUGGUUGGGACUGAGGCUCUCAGCACGCCUUUAUGGCCUGGUUUCGACCAAGUUCGUGCUUAGGAUGUUGGCAUAAUGGCUUUAAUCGACCCGUCUUGAAACACGGACCAAGGAGUCUAACAUGCUUGCGAGUAUUUGGGUGGAAAACCCUUGUGCGUAAUGAAAGUGAAAGUUGAGAUCCCUGUCGUGGGGAGCAUCGACGCCUGGACCAGAGCUUUUGUGACGGAUCCACGGUAGAGCACGUAUGUUGGGACCCGAAAGAUGGUGAACUAUGCCUGAAUAGGGUGAAGCCAGAGGAAACUCUGGUGGAGGCUCGUAGCGAUUCUGACGUGCAAAUCGAUCGUCAAAUUUG